rnacentral:rRNA from 1 species
AUGGACCUUUCUUUAUGUAGACUGAUGGAUUAUGAUAACUCUAGAAGACACAAUCAAAGUACUUCCAAAAAGAGGACUCGUUUCAAUUCUGAUGAUGGAAAGAGGAAACGGCUAAACUACAGGCAGGAUGGCGGACAUAUGUCCUCUCAGCCAAUAGAAACCGUUUACAGGAUAUUGUGCCCAGGAAAAAAGAUCGGCGGUGUCUUGGGGAGAGGUGGUCAUGUUGUUAAGGCCCUUAGAGAGGAGACUAAAGCAAAGAUAAGGGUUGCUGAUUCUAUUCCUGGUGCAGACGAGAGAGUAAUUAUUAUAUUUGAUUACCAAAAUAACUCCGACCAAGCUAUUCAAAAUAUUUCUAAUGUUGAUGGCUCAGAGAACAUGAAGCCCCAUUGUUUUGCUCAAGAUGCGUUGUUGAAGAUACAUGAUAAGAUUGCUGCUGAUGAAGAUUCCAACGAUGGAGUUUCCUAUGAGAAUUCUGAAACUGCUGGUGAUGUGACUGCUCGAAUUUUGGUUCCAGGCAAUCAAGUUGGCUGCCUGCUGGGAAAAGGUGGCUCUAUUAUACAACAAUUGCGAAAUGAUACUGGUGCAGGGAUCCGUGUCUUACCAUCCGAAAACCUUCCUCAGUGUGCACUUAAGAGUGAUGAAUUGGUGCAGAUAUCUGGUGCACCUUCUCUUGUAAGAAAAGCUCUCUACGAGAUAUCUACUCGUCUCCAUCGGCAUCCUCGUAAAGAAAAUCCAUCUCUUGAAGAAAUUAUAGAUGCAAGCACACAAAGGAAGCGCGAGUCCCCACCACCGCUACCACAUGAAAAUCACAUGUUACCACACCUGCAUGUGGAUCAUCCACCACCAAUGCCCUUGCUUGAUCCAUAUAGAAACGGACCAUUGCAAUAUCCUGUUCCUGAACCAGAAGAGUUUUCUAUUAAAAUUCUGUGCCCUUCUGAGCUUAUUGGACCUGUUAUUGGCAGAAGUGGGGCAAAUGUUCGGCAGGUAGAGCAGCAGACUGGUGCUCGCAUUAUGGUUCAGGAGUUGCCCAAAGAUGCUUCUGGAGAAAGGUUGAUUGUUAUUUCAUCCAAGGAGAUUCCGGCUGAUCCAGUAUCCCCAACAAUCGAGGCACUUAUUUUGCUCCAUAGUAAAGUAAGUGAGAGCAAAGUAAGUGAACCUUCAGUAAGUGCACCUUCAGAAAGUGCACCUUCUGAGGAGCACAACUUGGUUACAAGACUUGUUGUACCAUCAAGAAAAGUUGGUUGUAUUAUUGGGGAAGGUGGGAAGGUAAUUACUGAAAUGAGAAGGCGUAUUGGGGCUGAAAUCCGAGUUUAUUCGAAAGCAGAUAAACCAAAGUACUUAUCUUUUCACGAUGAGCUUGUGCAGGUUUCUGGGUCUCCAGAUAUUGCAAGAAAAGCCAUCACAGAGAUUGCUUCGAGGCUUAGAGAUAGAAUCCUCAGAGAUGGAAUUUCCUCUUUUGAUGGUCCUCCUGCUGAUAUAUUUCCUAGCAGGGAAUUCACACUGUACGGAAGACCUGCCAAUCCACCAUAUGGAAGGCUUGCCAAUGAUACCCCUUAUGGAAGGCCUGCCAAUGAUACCCCUUAUGGAAGGCCUGCUAAUGAUUCCCCAUAUCAAAGGCGGCUUGCCAUUGAUCAACCAUAUGGGCUUGCCAGUGAUUCACUAUAUGGAAGACCUGCCAAUGAUCCACUAUAUGGGAGACCAGCCAAUGAUCCACUAUAUGGGAGACCAGCCAAUGAUCCACCUUAUGGAAGACCAGCCAAUGAUGAACCAUAUGGGAGACCUGCCAACGACACACCAUAUGGGAGACCUGCCAACGAUACACCAUAUGGCAGACCAAACAAUAAACCCCAUGAUUCAGUAGAUUACUUCUCUAAAAGAAGAGAGUAUCCUAGUGGAAGUCCAUUUGCUAGCGACGCUCCACCAUCUGCUUCUUAUGAUAGAUAUGCAGCAUCUGCUCGCUUGCCUACUAGAGAAAUGCCCUUGCCUGUUAGUCCUGGUGCUGAUUACAUGUCGCAUCGUUCUUAUCAUGACCAUAUGCCUACUGAUAGCUAUUCUAGUAGAGGCAUUCAGCAAUUAGGCCUCUCAAGAGCUGGGAAUAGUAAUAUGCAACAAUUAGGCGUCACCAGAGCUGGAAAUUCCAAUGCUUAUGAUUACACCGAGGCUGUCGGGCAGAUGCAUGGACGUGAGGAUUAUCAAAGAGUGGCAGAUGUUACAGGGUAUUCAAGUAGCUCUGUUGAACUGAGGAUUCCAAAUAGUUCUCUGGAAUCUAUUGUUGGAGCUGGUGGUGUCAAUCUAGCAGAGAUCCGCCAGAUCUCUGGUGCAAGAAUGAAGUUACUUGAAGCCCAUCCUGGUUCUUUGGAAUCCAUCAUGGAGAUCCAAGGUAUGCCGGACCAAGUGAGAGUGGCGCAGAGCCUUCUGCAAGGCUUCAUUGGUGCCAACAGCCAGAGCGUGCAGCCAUCCCAGUCUUCUCGCGACGUCCAUUACCCAAGGUGGAACUAA